CCUAGCUCUCACGAGCCAGGCUAGCGUAUGCCGUACCUUAGGUACU
rnacentral:sRNA from 18 species